GACGAACGCUGGCGGCGUGCCUAAUACAUGUAAGUCGAGCGGACCUCUUCGGAGGUUAGCGGCGGACGGGUGAGUAACACGUGGGCAACCUGCCUGUAAGACUGGGAUAACUUCGGGAAACCGGAGCUAAUACCGGAUAAUCCUUUCCCCCUCAUGAGGGAAAGCUGAAAGACGGUUUCGGCUGUCACUUACCGAUGGGCCCGCGGCGCAUUAGCUAGUUGGUGGGGUAAGGGCCUACCAAGGCGACGAUGCGUUGCCGACCUGAGAGGGUGAUCGGCCACACUGGGACUGAGACACGGCCCAGACUCCUGCGGGAGGCAGCAGUAGGGAAUCAUCCGCAAUGGGCGAAAGCCUGACGGUGCAACGCCGCGUGAGUGAGGAAGGUUUUCGGAUCGUAAAGCUCUGUUGUGAGGGAAGAACAGCUUCCGGAGGAAAUGCCGGAGGUUUGCCGGUACCUCACCAGAAAGCCCCGGCUAACUACGUGCCAGCAGCCGCCGUAA
rnacentral:rRNA from 1 species